UAGCUAGUUGGUGAGGUAAUGGCCCACCAAGGCGACGAUCGGUAGCCGGACUGAGAGGUUGAACGGCCACAUUGGGACUGAGACACGGCCCAGACUCCUACGGGAGGCAGCAGUGGGGAAUAUUGCACAAUGGGGGAAACCCUGAUGCAGCGACGCCGCGUGGAGGAAGAAGGUCUUCGGAUUGUAAACUCCUGUUGUUGAGGAAGAUAAUGACGGUACUCAACAAGGAAGUGACGGCUAACUACGUGCCAGCAGCCGCGGUAAAACGUAGGUCACAAGCGUUGUCCGGAAUUACUGGGUGUAAAGGGAGCGCAGGCGGGAAGACAAGUUGGAAGUGAAAUCUAUGGGCUCAACCCAUAAACUGCUCUCAAAACUGUUUUUCUUGAGUAGUGCAGAGGUAGGCGGAAUUCCCGGUGUAGCGGUGGAAUGCGUAGAUAUCGGGAGGAACACCAGUGGCGAAGGCGGCCUACUGGGCACCAACUGACGCUGAGGCUCGAAAGUGUGGGUAGCAAACAGGAUUAGAUACCCUGGUAGUCCACACCGUAAACGAUGAUUACUAGGUGUUGGAGGAUUGACCCCUUCAGUGCCGCAGUUAACACAAUAAGUAAUCCACCUGGGGAGUACGACCGCAAGGUUGAAACUCAAAGGAAUUGACGGGGGCCCGCACAAGCAGUGGAGUAUGUGGUUUAAUUCGACGCAACGCGAAGAACCUUACCAAGUCUUGACAUCCUGCGACGGACAUAGAAAUAUGUCUUUCCUUCGGGACGCAGAGACAGGUGGUGCAUGGUUGUCGUCAGCUCGUGUCGUGAGAUGUUGGGUUAAGUCCCGCAACGAGCGCAACCCUUAUGGUCAGUUACUACGCAAGAGGACUCUGGCCAGACUGCCGUUGACAAAACGGAGGAAGGUGGGGAUGACGUCAAAUCAUCAUGCCCUUUAUGACUUGGGCUACACACGUACUACAAUGGCGUUAAACAAAGAGAAGCAAGACCGCGAGGUGGAGCAAAACUCAGAAACAACGUCCCAGUUCGGACUGCAGGCUGCAACUCGCCUGCACGAAGUCGGAAUUGCUAGUAAUCGCAGAUCAGCAUGCUGCGGUGAAUACGUUCCCGGGCCUUGUACACACCGCCCGUCACACCAUGAGAGCCGGGGGGACCCGAAGUCGGUAGUCUAACCGCAAGGAGGACGCCGCCGAAGAUAAAACUGGUGAUUGGGGUGAAGUCGUAACAAGGUAA
rnacentral:rRNA from 1 species